GACCUUAGGGGAGGUAUAGCAUGUUGGGAGAUAAUCAGCUCACCAUCAAAGCAAAUGAACCUUCACCACCUUGGGAGGCCCCGCAGUGUUCACCAGCCCUCAGCUUUGACCCUAAUGGAAUUGAUUCUUUCAGUCUUUCUAUUUCUGGGCUGUGGAAAAGUUCCCCUGGUGGUAUCUUUCAUCCUCAUCUGAAAUUGUAUUUUCUCUCAAGCUUGGGAAGACCAGGCUAUAAUCAAACAUCACUGACAAGAAAGUCCAGCGAUAGGAUGCACGGGGAAAACAAACGUGAAUGUACUGCCACAUCCAAUUCGUGGUCAUCAGGAAGUGUGGCUUGAGUGGUCAUGUGCUGGCAAUGCUUUAUUCGAGUUCCCUAUAGAGAUACAGGCUAUAGGCUCUAUCUCUAUUUGCUGCGCUUCCAAGAAGAAACUGCUGUUUUAUUUCUUCUUGUUCACAGCCUUCUUUUAGCUGGCUUCAGUGGAAAUUUCCAGGUGAAAUGUCUGAGUGUCUUUGAGUUAACCUGAAAGCAGGCUAACCUUGAGAACACGUGUAAGGUGUUGUUGGCUCUGAGUUUGGAAAUAAAUAGGCACGCACAAUGUCGUGAUACAGUAAUUGAGAAUAACAUGUUAAAGAUGGCUGUGCGCACACAAGAGGACAGCAAGCCAUCGUUGUUUGGCACUGGGGAGGAAGGUAGCAUGUGCUGUGACGAAGGUGCAGCUGCAAGACCACAUGCCAGGUCAUGAGCUACCCCUGAGGAGGUUCACACCAGUUACAGAUGCAGAAGUAAGUCCCCAGGAUCCUCUGAGUUUAUCGCAAUUGAAAGAAAAAAAUCUCACAUUAAGGGAGUCACCAGCAAAACAGUCAGCAUUAUGUAUCAUUUCUUCAAGGCCACAUUAACUUAUAAGGAAAUGCAGAGCAUGUGACAGGCCUGAGAACCUUCAGAACGUUGCCACAGCACCUGAGGAGAGCCUUGGCAAAUAUGCAAUAAGAUGAGGAAGGCACAGAGAGCUGCCCUGCUCCAGCUGACUCAUCUCCACACUUGCCCGGUGCCACAGGCUUCUUGGAUAUACAUCCGCAACCUGGCUUAUGUCUCAGGCACAUACUGUCACCAAACCCUUUGACAACCUUGUCCAAGAAUGACAAUGAAAACAAAACAAAAUAAAACAACAGAAGAGCACUCCACACCUAGAACUGUGUCACAAGAUACGUUACAACAUGUGUCACAGGUAUGCGCUGAACCAAGUCGUUUACUUCUUGGAACGAGAAAGCAUGUGUUUUAGAAUCUGAUGUAUAACAACUUCUUAAUAAACAGAAAAGGCAAAAAUGGAAGAUCAGCCCCGUAUCACCCACACCUGGCAACUGGGUGUGCUGGAGACCCUUAGGUGAUUUCUUUCAGAAAGACAAGGGUAGCUCCCGACACCCCUGGAGCUGGCCCGGAACUCCUCACCGGUUGGUUUCGGCGUUGAGCGUGGGCGGUUUUGUAUGUUACCAUUCAGACAAGGUCAGUUCACGACUGUGACACAGCAGGACAGAGGCCAGGCUGCUGAUAACCACUUUGGAACACAAAUUUGAACAUUAUCUAAGCCGCACAGUACUGAUCACCCUUUCCUGUGGCUACCCAGAACCGCUAUGUUUCUUCACUAGCUGGAGCGUCAGUCUUCCCCUCCGUCUGGUCUGCGAGUUGGCUGGAAUGACUUGGUGUUAGCACCGUAGGAUUGCCUUUAGAAACUACCUCAAGAGACAUUAAAACGAGGUAUGUAUUCUUACAGUUCUAUUAGCCAGAAACCUCCAAUGGAAGUGUCAGCAGAACUGGAUCUUUCUGGAAGACCGGGAAAGAUCUGCCCUAGAUCUCUCUUCCUGUUUCCAGCGUCUUGGUUGGUAGAACCGCCCGCCAGUCUUUGCCCCCAUCUUCUUCCGUUUCUCUCCGUGUUCCCUGUCUUCUCGAAGAAGGACUCUUGCCAGUGGGUUUAGACUCCACCAAACACGUUCAGGUGAACUCAUCUUCCAAACCUUCCUUCACUUCUCUCUACAGAGAUACUAUCUGUAAGAUCAUGCUCACAGGUUCUCAGUGUCAUAUCCAUCCAACCCUCUAGAGAUAACUAGCUGCAGAGUUAUCCCAGCUCUCUGACAACAUGCAAUCUGGAAAAACACAUACCAUUAA